CCCUAUGGGGUGCAGCAGGUUGGGCUUGGCCUGUUCAAGAGCGCUGAUCGGCAGUGCAUAUUUUUCCGCCCUGCGCAGUAUUUUUUCGUUUUUGUAUUCGCGGCAAAUAUCAUGCAGCAAUCCCACAGUUAGUGCUUUGUCAAGAUCCAGAUCAAGCCGGGGCGCAAACGAGAUCAAAUGCUCCGUAGUGGAAAUGCAAUGAAGGAUUUUUUUCGUCGGCAGUUUGAUGUUUAGGAUCUCAAGAUACAGGCGUGUUUGAGGAGUGUCAGGAAGCGGCAUGAUCCAAGCCUUUUCGCCGGAUCACCCGUUCCACCGCCGGCGGAAGCCAUGCGCUCCCAUCCUCCCCGGCCGCGAUAUGUGCGCGGAUAUCCGUCGAGCUUACGUCCUGCUCCUGAAACGGCAACAGAUCAUAAUGUCCAUCGAGCAUCGGCGGCACAGCAGGCGCCACACCUGGGCGGGAGAGC
rnacentral:rRNA from 1 species